AGGCCUCAAGGAUGUGUGCGACCCUCAGAAUUUAAGCAUAUUAAUAAAGAGGAGGAAGAGAAACCAACCGGAAUUCCCUGAGUAGCUGCGAAGCGAAACGGGAAGAGCUCAGCACGUAGGGACGACGAGGGGCCCGUCUGUCCGAUGCCGUGUACUGGACCGGUCCGUUAUCUGCUACGCACGGUGCAAACAGUUCAAGUCUAACUGAAGGUGGCCCAUUAUCCCACAUGAAGGGUGAUAGGCCCGUAGAACGGCACAGGACUGUGGUGGCAGACGGCCGGCUCCAUGGAGUGUGUUGCUUGAUAGUGCAGCACGUAAAGUGGGAGUUAAACUCCUUCUAAAGCUAAUACCGCCAUGAACCGAUAGCGAACAAGUACCGUGAGGGGAAAGUUAAAAGCACUCUGAAUAGAGACAGUCCAAAUAGUACGUGAAACUGCCUAGGGGACGCAAACCCGUUGAACUCAAUGAUUCCGGGCGGCGAUAUUCAGCGGGGGGCCUCCGGCCUACCGUGCACUUAUCGAUCCGCAGCAAACGGACAUCGCGAUCCAUUGCCGCAUCUGCUUGAGCAUAUCAUUCCGGCAAUAGGCCCCCUGGCUCGUGGUGGACGGCUCCCUAGUAGGGGCGGCUUGGCGGCCGCUCCCAACUGGGGGUCUCCGCGCCUUUCACACCCGAGAGGCGCGGGUCCGACCGAGUCUUGGUGCGCCGCUGGAAGCACGAUGGAACGUACGACCGGGGUCUAGGGAGCAGCCUUGGUAGCCGAAGGCACUAGAAGCACCUCGACCCCCCGAUCGGCGAUGACGCACUAUGCAUUGAGGCACCUCCGGGACCCGUCUUGAAACACGGACCAAGAAGUCUAUCUUGCGCGCAAGCCAAUGGGCGUCGCGUAACCAGCAAUGGUUGCGCACACGACUCAAAACCCAAAGGCACAGACAACUCGAACAAGGUUGCUAGGGAUUACGGGUUCGGGCACGGGCGCAAGCCUUCGUCGGGCCCCUCCAUCCCCGGGGUGUCCCGUCCCCGCGGCUGUCUCGUGCAGCCCGAGUGGGCAUCCCUCGAGUGCGUAGGAUGCGACCCGAAAGAUGGUGAACUAUGCCUGAUCAGGCCGAAGUCAGUGGGAAACCCUGAUGGAGGGCCGAGCAAUUCUGACGUGCAAAUCGAUUGUCCAAGAGUUGGCAAUAGGGGCGAAAGACCAAUCGAACCAUCUAGUAGCUGUGUUCCCUCCGAAGUUUCCCUCAGGAUAGCUGGAGCACGUAGCAUUUCGAGCCUUAUUCUUAUCUGGUAAAGCGAAUGAGUAGAGGCCUUAGGUUCGAAAUGAUCUUAAACCUAUUCUCAAACUAUAAAUGGGUACGGUACUGGGCGGCAUGCUUUGAUGAUCGCCGCCCUGCUACAAUCGAACUAAACGGGCGGGGGUCUCCUCUCCUCCGGGGGGGGAGGGCUCCGGUUAGAUAUCGGGUGCUAGUGGGCCAAGUUUGGUAAGCAGAACUGGUCUGUGGGAUGAACCAAACGCAAUGUUACGGCGCCCAAAUAAACGGACGCAUCUCAGAUACCAUGAAAGGUGUUGAUUGCUAAAGACAAGCAGGACGGUGGACAUGGAAGUCGUCAUCCGCUAAGGAGUGUGUAACAACUCACCUGCCGAAGCAAUAGCCCUUAAAAUUGGAUUGGCGCUCAGAUCGUUUGCCUAUACAUUGCCGCUAGCGGUAGAGCGCAUCGGGGGCCUGACCAACCUGCGAUGAAACCCUAGCGAGUAGGAGGGUACGGUGGUGUGCGCAGAAGUGUUUGGCGCAAGCCGGCAUGGAGCCGCCACCGGAACAGAUCUUGGUGGUAGUAGCAAAUAUUCGAACGAGCUCUUGGAUGACUGAAGUGGAGAAGGUUUCGUGUCAACAGCAGUUGAACACGAGUAGCCAAUCCUAAGCCGCAUGGGAACCCACCUUACAAUCCCAUACAUAGCCGGCGAAAGGGAAUCCGGUUACCAUUCCGGAGCCUGUUGAGUACCCGUUUGCGCGGCCGUGUGCGUGUCGUCCAAACCUCUCCCACCCAGGUGGGGCGGUGCGGGUCCGGCCGUACACGGUCGUGUGUCAGCUUCAUGGCAACAUGAAUCCUUCUCUUCGAGAAGCCAACGAGGGCAAUCGGAAGAGUUUUCUUUUCUGUUUAACAGCCCCCACGACCAUGGAAGUCACUCACAGAGCGAUAUGGUUGGACGCGCUGGUAGAGCACGGCCCGCCGCCACUGCCGUGUCGAUGCACUCUUCUUGGACCGUGAAAAUCGAAGACUGGCGCACACUCACUCAGUUGAUCCGAAGCCUAUCCGCUGCCCCCCCGUGGGGUCGGUGCUGUCUAGGUCGCUGGGUAUGAGCGUAUAAACGUUCUGGCCGUACUCUCAACAGCUUGUACCGAAAUCCGCAGCAGGUCUCCAAGGUGCAGAGUCUCUAGUCGAUAGAUCAAUGUAGGUAAGGGAAGUCGGCAAACUGGAUCCGUACUUCGGGGACAAGGUUGGCUCUGGA